AACGCAAAUUGCACUCUUUUCGGAGAGUAUGCCUGUUUGAGGGUCAGUAUAAUAAAAAUCGGUAUGUUGCUUUUUUUGUGACGUUCCGGAGAUGAGUUAUCUUAAUUUUUUUAGGUUAAGAGGCUUAAAAUUGACAUCUUUUUGCGCAUUUUUUAGACGUACAUAAAUUUUUUUUAUUCGUUUAUCCUAAUGCCAAAAUCUAUUAGAUGCGAUCAUAUCAUGUGGUUCCGUAUCUAUAAAUAUUUUUCGUGAUUUGACCUCAAAUCAGGUAGGAGCACCCGCUGAACUUAA
rnacentral:misc_RNA from 1 species